GGCCGCGUAUCAACCAUCAUCCUAUUUAUAAGUUGCAGAAUUCAAAAAUGGUGCGCUGGGAAGGAAAAUAUUAUAACGUAGACGGCACUGGGAAUGUCAAAGACCCUCUACUCUUUUUGAUAGUCAACAGUCCUAUUCAUACAGCAAGUGCUCGUGGUUCCCAUGACCGUCUUUUUUCCAUACCGACUAACUGGAUGAGCGACGACAAUUUGAAGGUUAGAGGAAUCAAUUUUUGGGAAUGGAGUUUAAUAACAUUCAAAAAAAGAAGGUUUCCGGAAUCCAGCUGGACCGAGCUUCAAAUUUCCGACUUUUUAACAGAAGUGUACUUCCCAAAAUCAUUUGAAGAUUCGAAAAAUGAGAUCUCGUCCAUAUUUUAAUCUAUCUCCGGUGGAAUCAAUUAUGAUUUAAAAGACCUACUACAACUCGGGAAUACUCCGAAGCGUAAAACCACCAGCCCAGGAAACACCAAAGCCAGUGGAGAAGAGGAAAAACAAAAAUGAAGUUGACUUAGCUUCUCCUAAUCAUGUAUCUUUGAGCAAGAGAUUGGAUAACACGUCCACUCCUAUAUUGCCGAUCAAAAAUUUUCAGAAUCGAAUG